rnacentral:miRNA from 1 species
GCUCCACCCUCGGCUGCUUUGA